GUUGGGUAGGGGAGCGUUCUGUAAGCCUGCGAAGGUGUACUGUGAGGUAUGCUGGAGGUAUCAGAAGUGCGAAUGCUGACAUAAGUAACGAUAAUGCGGGUGAAAAACCCGCACGCCGGAAGACCAAGGGUUCCUGUCCAACGUUAAUCGGGGCAGGGUGAGUCGACCCCUAAGGCGAGGCUGAAAAGCGUAGUCGAUGGGAAACGGGUUAAUAUUCCCGUACUGGUGGUAACUGCGAUGGGGGAACGGAGAAGGCUAGGUUGUCCGGGCGACGGUCGUCCCGGUUCAAGCAGGUAGGCAGAGUGAUUAGGCAAAUCCGGUCACUUAAUGCUGAGAUGUGAUGACGAACCACUAAGGUGGUGAAGCAAUUGAUGCCCCGCUUCCAGGAAAAGCCUCUAAGCUUCAGGUUACCAACAAUCGUACCCCAAACCGACACAGGUGGUCAGGUAGAGAAUACUCAGGCGCUUGAGAGAACUCGGGUGAAGGAACUAGGCAAAAUGGUGCCGUAACUUCGGGAGAAGGCACGCUGGCGGUAGGUAAAGUCCCUUGCGGACGGCGCUGAAGCCAGUCGAAGAUACCAGCUGGCUGCAACUGUUUAUUAAAAACACAGCACUGUGCAAACACGAAAGUGGACGUAUACGGUGUGACGCCUGCCCGGUGCUGGAAGGUUAAUUGAUGGGGUCAGCCGUAAGGCGAAGCUCCUGAUCGAAGCCCCAGUAAACGGCGGCCGUAACUAUAACGGUCCUAAGGUAGCGAAAUUCCUUGUCGGGUAAGUUCCGACCUGCACGAAUGGCGUAAUGAUGGCCAGGCUGUCUCCACCCGAGACUCAGUGAAAUUGAACUCGCUGUGAAGAUGCAGUGUACCCGCGGCAAGACGGAAAGACCCCGUGAACCUUUACUAUAGCUUGACACUGAACAUUGAGCCUUGAUGUGUAGGAUAGGUGGGAGGCUUUGAAGUGUGGACGCCAGUCUGCAUGGAGCCAACCUUGAAAUACCACCCUUUAACGUUUGAUGUUCUAACCUAGGCCCAUAAACUGGGUCGGGGACCGUGUCUGGUGGGUAGUUUGACUGGGGCGGUCUCCUCCUAAAGAGUAACGGAGGAGCACGAAGGUUGGCUAAGCAUGGUCGGACAUCAUGCGGUUAGUGCAAAGGCAUAAGCCAGCUUGACUGCGAGAGUGACGGCUCGAGCAGGUACGAAAGUAGGUCUUAGUGAUCCGGUGGUUCUGAAUGGAAGGGCCAUCGCUCAACGGAUAAAAGGUACUCCGGGGAUAACAGGCUGAUACCGCCCAAGAGUUCAUAUCGACGGCGGUGUUUGGCACCUCGAUGUCGGCUCAUCACAUCCUGGGGCUGAAGUAGGUCCCAAGGGUAUGGCUGUUCGCCAUUUAAAGUGGUACGCGAGCUGGGUUUAGAACGUCGUGAGACAGUUCGGUCCCUAUCUGCCGUGGGCGUUGGAAGAUUGAGAGGGGUUGCUCCUAGUACGAGAGGACCGGAGUGAACGCACCACUGGUGUUCGGGUUGUCAUGCCAAUGGCAUUGCCCGGUAGCUAAGUGCGGAAGAGAUAACCGCUGAAAGCAUCUAAGCGGGAAACUUGCCUCGAGAUGAGUCUUCCCUGUC
rnacentral:rRNA from 1 species